CACACACGCACUCAUAUAUAGAAAUUCGAUUGUUGUCAGUAGUUUAUCUAAUAAACCCCGAUCUUUUUUUAGUCAAUCAUAUAGCUAUAAAAAGAUCAUUCAGAUCAAUGUCGCAGUGGUCAUUUCCACAAGUGUAUCUAUCAAAAAUGCAAUACGGUCGAUUACUAGGUCGAAAUAUUAAAAUGUUAGCCUUUUCUAAGGGAUAUGUCUUUGGCUCUUUACCGCUACUUGUUGGCCAUCUGCAGUACUGCAGAGUCCCCCCCCCCCCCGCCUCCCAUUCAAGCACAAAACAAGAGAUUAUCUAAAAGACAGUAACAUACUUUAUGCAUACAUUAUUCCUAAGUACAAAAAUAUUUGAUGAAACCAUUUUUUUUUUUAAUAUAAGCCGGCGAGUUCGCCUGACAUCACCCGAGACCUCGAGCAUUCAUUUUCUAUACAAGUUAAACUCAUUCGGGUCGCAGCGAACUCGAUUGUGUCCCAGUUGCGAGUAUUUUUUUUUUUUUUUUGCAAAAGGAGCCGGGCUACUUCAAAACAGUUCUUCUGCUAACGAACAAAAUAUCAAGUGUAAGGAUGGAGGCCAUUUUGUCCAAACCUGCUUUUUUUUUUUUUUUUUUUUUGGUCACAUAGCAUCUUUAAUACCACCAUUAUAAUAAUUAGAAUAUCAAAAGUAUGGAGUAUACAUUACAUCGUUUGCAUUGCGCCACACAAUUGCGAGCGGACUUAAUCUCGUUAUAAUUUUUCCAUUUUCCCUCCUUUUCGUAAUUCUUCUUGUGGCGAUCUCCUCAUUGUGCUGAUCCGGCGAGCCUUCGUUCGGGAAGAAGAACACUGAAUUGGACAUGAGGUGAUAGAAAAAGCUUCCGAACGGUACUUGUAUUCCUAUACUCUACUACUUUCCAAUACCGGUAAAUCUCCGUUAUAAGUCACCCCC